AUACUUACCUGUCAGGAGAGUGGUUUUCCCAGGGCAAGACUUAUCCAUUUCACUCUGGAUGUGCUGCUUUCUCCAAAUGUGGGAAACUUGACUGCAUAAUUUGUGGUAGCGGCAGACUGCAUUAGCACUCUCCCA
ensembl:snRNA U1 U1 spliceosomal RNA